UACGUAGGAUCCAAGCGUUGUCCGGAUUUACUGGGUGUAAAGGGUGCGCAGGCGGACUGGUUAGUCUGGGGUGAAAUCUCAUCGCUCAACGGUGAAACUGCCUUAGAUACUGCCAGUCUUGAAUUAGGGAGAGGUUCGUGGAAUUCCGAGUGAGCAGUGAAAUGUGUAGAUAUUCGGAAGAACACCAGUGGCGAAGGCAGCGAACUGGCCCUUAAUUGACGCUCAGGCACGAAAGCAUGGGGAUCAAACAGGA
rnacentral:rRNA from 1 species